CUUUAUAUGUACUUCCCAUGAUAAACUUUUGUCAAAUGGUAUUGGUAUUUCACAAAGGGCUUACUGUACUUUCAUCUUAUUGGCAGGGCACCAACUCUAAUAGAUUCACCAUCUGGAAAGCGAGGGCAGUUAUCAUGCCUUGUGAAGAUGGUUUGUUGGGAUUGCGAUUCCCUUUAUGCGUCCUGUUUUUUUAUUUGUCAUCUUCUGCUGUAUCAUCCUUUCUUUGAACUAUAUUUUCAUGUGGUACAUGAUACCUUUUGUUACCUUCGCCACAGUACUGCUCACGAAUAGCAUUUUGAGCCAUUUUGCUAUGCCUUGGAAUAAAACUUUUAUCCUCGAUCCUAGGAAUGGAUAACCUCUUGGAUUUUCACAUCUGAUAUUAACCAUUAAAAUUUGGAUGAUGGA
rnacentral:lncRNA from 1 species